AUGCCCUGUUCACACGGUGCCUCCUCUCUUGCAGCCAGUACCAAAGCCCCCUCAGUGUUCCCCCUGGCACCCACCUGCAAGAGCACGGACGGCUCCACGGUGACUCUGGGCUGCCUGGUGAAGGGCUAUUUCCCUGAGCCAGUGACUGUGUCCUGGAACCAAGGCGCCCUGUCCAGCGGUGUGCGCACCUUCCCGUCUGUCCUGCAGUCCUCGGGGCUCUACUCCCUCAGCAGCAUGGUGACCGUGCCUGCCAGCACCUGGCCCAGCCAGAAAGUCACCUGCAACGUAGCCCACCCGGCCAGCAGCACCAAGGUGGACAAGAUGAUUGAGCCCAGUACCCCCAAAUCUGACUCCGGCACCACGUGUCCCAAGUGCAAAUGUAAGUCAGCCCAGGACUCCCCUUCAUCCCAAGGGGGGAUGGGAGACUGAGGGCAGCAUCUGAGAAGGAGGACAGGCUCCACCAGGUGCUGACCCCGCUGCCUCGGUCUCUCCACACCAGGUCCUGAUAACCAGGGAGGACCUUCAGUCUUCAUCUUCCCCCCAAAACCCAAGGACACCCUCAUGAUCUCCCUCACCCCUGAGGUCACAUGCGUGGUGGUGGACGUGAGCCAUGAUGACCCUGAAGUCCAGAUCAGCUGGUUCGUGGAUGGUGAGCAGGUGCACACGGCCCAGACUUCCAGGGAGGAGCAGUUCAACAGCACGUUACGCGUGGUCAGCGUCCUGCCCAUCCGGCACCAGGACUGGCUGAAGGGCAAGGAAUUCAAGUGCAAGGUUAAGAACAAUGCCCUCCCAGCCCCCGUCGAGAGAACCAUCUCCAGAGCCAAAGGGCAGGCCCGGAGUCCACAGGUGUACGUCAUGGCCCCACCCCGGGAGGAGAUGACCCAGAGCACUGUCAGCUUGACCUGCCUGGUCAAAAACUUCUACCCCAAUGACAUCCACGUUGAGUGGGAGAGUGAGGGAAAGCCAGUGAACAACUACAAGACCACCCCAUCCGUGCUGGACAGCGACGGCACCUACUUCCUCUACAGCAAGCUCACAGUGGACAGGAGCUCGUGGCUGAGUGGGAGUUCAGUCACAUGCUCUGUCAUGCACGAGGCCCUGCACAACCACUAUGUGCAGAAGCUUAUCUCCCACAAUCCGGCGCUGCAACCAGACGAGAGCUGUGCCGAGGCCCAGGACGGAGAGCUGGACGGGCUGUGGACGACCAUCACCAUCUUCAUCACACUCUUCCUGCUCAGCGUGUGCUACAGCGCCACCGUCACGGUCUUCAAG